rnacentral:rRNA from 1 species
ACGGGAGGCAGCAGUGAGGAAUAUUGGUCAAUGGGCGGAAGCCUGAACCAGCCAAGUCGCGUGAAGGAUGAAGGUAUUAUGUAUUGUAAACUUCUUUAGCAGUGGAGUAAUAAGGGGAUCGCGAUCCCUGAUGCAAGUACACUGAGAAUAAGGAUCGGCUAACUCCGUGCCAGCAGCCGCGGUAAUACGGAGGAUCCGAGCGUUAUCCGGAUUUAUUGGGUUUAAAGGGUGCGUAGGCGGGAUGUUAAGUCAGCGGUGAAAGCGUGUAGCUCAACUAUACCAAGCCGUUGAAACUGGCGUUCUUGAGUGUAAACGAGGUAGGCGGAAUGUGACGUGUAGCGGUGAAAUGCUUAGAUAUGUCACAGAACCCCGAUUGCGAAGGCAGCUUACCAGCAUACAACUGACGCUGAGGCACGAAAGUGCGGGGAUCAAACAGGAUUAGAUACCCUGGUA